AGCAGGAACAACUUUGAAAACCCAGGAAGUGAUAUCAGAUGGUCUGGGACGGCAUUGUUGAAACAAGCAACACUUAGACAAGUUGGGGAUUUGAUUUAGAAUUUAGGGAUUCAAGAUCUCCCUAAGGAUUUCAAUGGAAUAGCGACCUUUUGGAGUUUUGAUUGCCUUAAGUUUUUCAAAAAAAUUCAGUGUUUUUCAUGCCUUUUAAUCCCUAAAAAUCUCUGAAAUCUCUCAUCUGCCCGAACCCACUCUCAAAAACACUUUUUAGAUUUUUUCAACCUAUCCA
rnacentral:lncRNA from 1 species